rnacentral:rRNA from 1 species
GAUGAACGCUGGCGGCGUGCCUAAUACAUGCAAGUCGAGCGACUGGAUUAAGAGCUUGCUCUUAUGAAGUUAGCGGCGGACGGGUGAGUAACACGUGGGUAACCUGCCCAUAAGACUGGGAUAACUCCGGGCAACCGGGGCUAAUACCGGCUAACAUUUUGAACCGCACGGUUCGAAAUUGAAAGGCGUCUUCGUCUGUCACUUAUGGAUGGACCCGCGUCGCAUUAGCUAGUUGGUGAGGUAACGGCUCACCAAGGCAACGAUGCGGAGCCGACCUGAGAGGGUGAUCGGCCACACUGGGACUGCGACACGGCCCAGACUCCUACGGGGGGCAGCAGUAGGGAAUCUUCCGCAAUGGACAAAAGUCUGACGGAGCAACGCCGCGUGAGUGAUGAAGGCUUUCGGGUCGUAAAACUCUGUUGUUAGGGAAGAACAAGUGCUAGUUGAAUAAGCUGGCACCUUGACGGUACCUAACCAGAAAGCCACGGCUAACUACGUGCCAGCAGCCGCCGUAA